UACGUAGGGGGCAAGCGUUAUCCGGAUUUACUGGGUGUAAAGGAGCGCAGACGGAACUGCAAGUCUGAUGUGAAAGCCCGGGGCUCAACCGCGGGACUGCAUCGGAUACUGUAGAUCUGGAGUGCCGGAGGGGCAAGCGGAAUUCCUGGUGUAGCGGUGAAAUGCGUAGAUAUCAGGAGGAACACCGGCGGCGAAGGCGGCUUGCUGGACGGCAACUGACGUUGAGGCUCGAAAGCGUGGGGAGCAAACAGAAUUAGAUACCCU
rnacentral:rRNA from 1 species